rnacentral:rRNA from 1 species
UACGGAGGAUCCAAGCGUUAUCCGGAUUUAUUGGGUUUAAAGGGUGCGUAGGCGGCCUAUUAAGUCAGGGGUGAAAGACGGUAGCUUAACUAUCGCAGUGCCUUUGAUACUGAUGGGCUUGAAUGUACUUGGGUAGGCGGAAUGUGACAAGUAGCGGUGAAAUGCAUAGAUAUGUCACAGAACACCAAUUGCGAAGGCAGCUUACUAAAGUAUGAUUGACGCUGAGGCACGAAAGCGUGGGGAUCAAACAGG